GACGAACGCUGGCGGCGUGCUUAACACAUGCAAGUCGAGCGGUAAGGCCCUUUCGGGGGUACACGAGCGGCGAACGGGUGAGUAACACGUGGGUGACCUGCCCUCAGCUCUGGGAUAAGCCUGGGAAACCGGGUCUAAUACUAGAUAUGACUCCAUGACGCAUGUUGUGGGGUGGAAAGCCUUGUGCGGCUGAGGAUGGGCCCGCGGCCUAUCAGCUUGUUGGUGGGGUGANGGCCUACCAAGGCGACGACGGGUAGCCGGCCUGAGAGGGCGACCGGCCACACUGGGACUGAGACACGGCCCAGACUCCUACGGGAGGCAGCAGUGGGGAAUCUUGCGCAAUGGGCGAAAGCCUGACGCAGCGACGCCGCGUGGAGGAUGAAGGCCU
rnacentral:rRNA from 1 species